rnacentral:rRNA from 1 species
UACAGAGGGUGCAAGCGUUAAUCGGAAUUACUGGGCGUAAAGCGUGCGUAGGCGGUCCAGCAAGUCGGGUGUGAAAGCCCUCGGCUUAACCGAGGAAGUGCAUUCGAAACUACUGGACUUGGAUACUGGAGAGGAUCGCGGAAUUCCCGGUGUAGAGGUGAAAUUCGUAGAUAUCGGGAGGAACACCAGUGGCGAAGGCGGCGAUCUGGACAGAUAUUGACGCUGAGGUGCGAAAGCGUGGGGAGCAAACAGG